rnacentral:rRNA from 1 species
UACGUAGGCAGCGAGCGUUGUUCGGAAUUACUGGGCGUAAAGCGUGCGCAGGCGGUUGUGCAAGACAGAUGUGAAAUCCCCGGGCUCAACCUGGGAAUUGCAUUUGUGACUGCACGGCUAGAGUGUGUCAGAGGGGGGUAGAAUUCCACGUGUAGCAGUGAAAUGCGUAGAGAUGUGGAGGAAUACCGAUGGCGAAGGCAGCCCCCCUGGGAUAACACUGACGCUCAUGCACGAAAGCGUGGGGAGCAAACAGG